UACGUAGGGUGCGAGCGUUAAUCGGAAUUACUGGGCGUAAAGCGUGCGCAGGCGGUUUUGUAAGCCAGAUGUGAAAUCCCCGGGCUUAACCUGGGAAUGGCAUUUGGGACUGCAAGGCUCGAGUGCGGCAGAGGAGACUGGAAUUCCUGGUGUAGCAGUGAAAUGCGUAGAUAUCAGGAGGAACACCGAUGGCGAAGGCAGGUCUCUGGGCUGACACUGACGCUCAUGCACGAAAGCGUGGGGAGCAAACAGGAUUAGAGUACCCUAAGUGAGUCC
rnacentral:rRNA from 1 species